rnacentral:lncRNA from 10 species
CCCUUCCUUCUACAAAGUGUAGCUGUUGUCUUCUUUCCCGCUCUCGAUAUGGGGUGAAGUGUUGAGCAACAUAAGAAGCUGGAGUCUCUUUCAAAGACAUCUGUACUCUAAAGGUAGCAGGUUUAUCAAAUGGCCACAAUUUGAGCAGGUACAAAAACUCUAUUUCCUUUGCCUUAGAUCUAAUAAUCUAGUGAUGUUUUUAAACAGCUGAUAUUCCUGGGAAUCUGGCAUAUUCAUCUUGUAGGGAGGAAAAGAUAUGAUUUUUUCUUGUCAUUAAAGCCCUGGGUGGCCAGGGCUGCUUGCAGGGGGAGGCAGUAGAGACUUACUCAAGUAGCAAUGAACAAAGAGAAAUAGAUAUUAGGAGGAAACAUGACAGAGUAGGGAGGAUGGUUAUAAAGCUCUGGAAGACAAGGUUGCGGGAAGCCUCUCCCUCCAGUUCUCCCACCUACCAAUUUCUCCCUCACGGCAUCUGUUUCUUUUCCAGGCUCAGUUAGCCCCAUCACUGACAACAUAAGGAAAGGGCAUUCUCUGCUGGGGCCAUUUUCAUUGUUUUUUUUUUAAAUCUUCUCAAAAACAAACACACAUUACUGCUUUUUCAAAAGAGAAGCUAGUAUUAUUUGUGGGUUUCCAUUUUCAUGUGUAUGAUUAGUUUAUACUGAUUUCUGUUCUGGCUGGGUCGAUGUCCACAUGCUGCCUGAAGUAUAAAGGCGUGUGCACAUAUAUUAGACACAAACUACUACCAUGGUGGUAAAGACUGCUAUGCAUUUAGUCCCCAAGUCUCUUUCUUUCUGCACACCCAGCUAGGAACACUGUGGAAGAAAACUACUUGUUGACCAGGAACACUCACUGUAAACACUUACAUGAGCAAGCAAUUA